AGUUGAGAAAAUAAAGUUCAUAAGGAUAUAACGGAGUUCAGAUCAUGUUUCGAUAUCAGCAAUCACAAGUCAAGCACCGUGCCCGGUGGCACAGGGUUAUUUUGCAGACCCGCUCCUCAGUACUUGUCAGACCUAUAUCUGGUGCAACGACUUCGUACCUCUUUGCAUGGCUUGUCCUCUUGGGUUUCUUUUUAAUCCCGAUGCGCAAAGUUGUCUAAGUUCAAAUGAAUAUACUUGCAACACAAAUCGAGCUACAGGAACUACCGAAGGAUUUCCUGUGGAAGCAUCGACUUCUGAUACGAGAGGAGGUGAUACUAAUCUGAAAGUAUCUGGUGAAUAUUGCAAUCAUUUGGAGAUUAUACUGAAGAAUGCCCUGCAAUCUAUGCUCCGAUCCACCGUAAAUGCUAACGGAAUGUGUGAAAAUAACUGCCUUCAACCAAACCUAACACUGACUUGUUUUUAAAGGUGUCAUGAUGUGAACGUUCUUUUUUCUUUGCCUCUCUCUCACACACAUUAUAUGAAAGAGAGAUGGAGAUGAGAGAGUUUUCAGUAUGUGACUUCUUCGACUUCAAAGUUUGGAACUGAGAUCGUUGGGCGGCGAAACAAAUACA